UUGGAGGGCAGUCUGGUGCCAGCAGCCGCGGUAAUUCCAGCUCCAAUAGCGUAUAUUAAAGUUGUUGCAGUUAAAAAGCUCGUAGUUGAAUUUCGGGAUCAAAUUGUCGGUCGUGCCUCGGUACGCACUGGUAUUAUUGGUUCCUACCUUCUGAAGAACCGCGAUGUCAUUAAUUUGGUGUCGUGGGGAAUCAGGACUGUUACUUUGAAAAAAUUAGAGUGUUUAAGGCAGGCUUACGCUUGAAUACAUUAGCAUGGAAUAAUGAAAUAGGACGUUUGAUUCUAUUUUGUUGGUUUCUAGGAUUGACGUAAUGAUUAAUAGGGAUAGUUGGGGGCAUUAGUAUUCAAUUGUCAGAGGUGAAAUUCUUGGAUUUAUUGAGGACUAACUACUGCGAAAGCAUUUGCCAAGGAUGUUUUCAUUAAUCAAGAACGAAAGUUAGGGGAUCGAAGACGAUCAGAUACCGUCGUAGUCUUAACCAUAAACUAUGCCGACUAGGGAUCGGAUGAUGUUAAUUUUUUAAUGACUCAUUCGGCGCCUUACGGGAAAC
rnacentral:rRNA from 1 species